UACGAAGGGGGCUAGCGUUGCUCGGAAUUACUGGGCGUAAAGCGCACGUAGGCGGCUCUUUAAGUCGGGGGUGAAAUCCUGGAGCUCAACUCCAGAACUGCCUUUGAUACUGAGGAUCUUGAGUUCGGGAGAGGUGAGUGGAACUGUGAGUGUAGAGGUGAAAUUCGUAGAUAUUCGCAAGAACACCAGUGGCGAAGGCGGCUCACUGGCCCGAUACUGACGCUGAGGCACGAAAGCGUGGGGAGCGAACAGG
rnacentral:rRNA from 1 species